AUGGUCCGCCGCCCAGCUAGCUACCUCCGGCGGCCAACCACCGGAGCCGCGACGGCCUGGAUCCGACCUCGCCUCCUCCACACGAGCCCCCUUUCCCCACCUCCCUCCACCAUCUUUCCUCCUAGCCCCUCAGCUUCCUCCACAUCUGGUGGCCCGAUUAGCACCAGAUCCUGCCGAUGCCGACGGAGAUGGCCGCCUCCAACCACCACGGCCCGGAUCCCUGGCUCUCUCCAUCGUUCUCUGACUCUCGCCGACGUCCACCGGGAUCGACCUCCUGACUUAGCCGUGCGGUUAAGUAGCAAAGGGAGGUUCGCUGGCUUCCGUCGAGCAGUUCGUUGCACCUCCCCACCGCUAGUCACGCAUCCUCCGCCGUCGCAGUGGAGCAGCGCCACCACCGUGGCCGUGUCCAUGCGCCGGGACGCCGAGGCUAGUGCGGCCAGGGCCUGGAGGUCGCCACUUCUACCGCGCGGGGCUCCUUGUCCCGCUCCUCCCCUGCCCACCUUCUCCCAAUGCGGCCCGCCCCAUCGCGCCGCCACGUCGCCCCCAGAUCCGAGCGACCUCUCCUGCUCCGGUCCAGCGGCCACCGCCAUGUCCGCCGCGCCCUGGGAACGGAUCUGGCCGCCCGUGCAGCAGAUCUGGCCAGCCCCGGGCAAAUCCCUCCUUCCCACACUCCAGCAGCACGUGGCCCUACCACGCCCGCCGUUGACCGUCGAGAUGGAGCAGGCCGAGCGUCGCGGGCAUGGCCACAUGGCCUCCUUCACUUCCAGCCAUCCCUUAGCCACCUACAACCGUGCGCGUGGGGUUGCCAUGCAUUUCAGUGCAGCUCAGCGACCGUGGAAGUGCAGCUCGAAGGCGCGCGUGAUGAGGUUCAGUGCACCUCAAACACCAUUGACCUCCUCUCCUACAUCUGUGUGGGCAUGCGGUUUGCCGGCGCGGUGCAGUGUGCUGCACUGGUUCUGGUGA
rnacentral:rRNA from 1 species